rnacentral:rRNA from 1 species
UACGAAGGGUGCUAGCGUUGUUCGGAAUUAUUGGGCGUAAAGCGUACGUAGGCGGCUUGGUAAGUCAAUUGUGAAAGCCCUGAGCUCAACUCGGGAAUUGCAAUCGAAACUGCCUUGCUUGAGUUUGGUGGGGGAUGGUGGAAUUCCUAGUGUAGGGGUGAAAUCCGUAGAUAUUAGGAGGAAUACCGGUGGCGAAGGCGACCAUCUACGCCAAUACUGACGCUGAGGUACGAAAGCGUGGGGAGCAAACAGG